rnacentral:rRNA from 1 species
GGGCUUAACACAUGCAAGUCGAGGGGCAGCAUUUUUCUUGCAAUAGAAGAGAUGGCGACCGGCGCACGGGUGAGUAACACGUAUCCAACCUACCGAUAACUCUGGAAUAGCCUUUCGAAAGAAAGAUUAGUACCGGAUAGUAUACGAAUAUCGCAUGAUAUUUUUAUUAAAGAAUUUCGGUUAUCGAUGGGGAUGCGUUCCAUUAGUUUGUUGGCGGGGUAACGGCCCACCAAGACUACGAUGGAUAGGGGUUCUGAGAGGAAGGUCCCCCACAUUGGAACUGAGACACGGUCCAAACUCCUACGGGAGGCAGCAGUGAGGAAUAUUGGUCAAUGGGCGCAGGCCUGAACCAGCCAAGUAGCGUGAAGGAUGAAGGCUCUAUGGGUCGUAAACUUCUUUUAUAUGGGAAUAAAGUUUUCCACGUGUGGAAUUUUGUAUGUACCAUAUGAAUAAGGAUCGGCUAACUCCGUGCCAGCAGCCGCGGUAAUACGGAGGAUCCGAGCGUUAUCCGGAUUUAUUGGGUUUAAAGGGAGCGUAGGUGGAUUGUUAAGUCAGUUGUGAAAGUUUGCGGCUCAACCGUAAAAUUGCAGUUGAAACUGGUAGUCUUGAGUACAGUAGAGGUGGGCGGAAUUCGUGGUGUAGCGGUGAAAUGCUUAGAUAUCACGAAGAACUCCGAUUGCGAAGGCAGCUCACUAGACUGUAACUGACACUGAUGCUCGAAAGUGUGGGUAUCAAACAGGAUUAGAUACCCUGGUAGUCCACACAGUAAACGAUGAAUACUCGCUGUUUGCGAUAUACAGUAAGCGGCCAAGCGAAAGCAUUAAGUAUUCCACCUGGGGAGUACGCCGGCAACGGUGAAACUCAAAGGAAUUGACGGGGGCCCGCACAAGCGGAGGAACAUGUGGUUUAAUUCGAUGAUACGCGAGGAACCUUACCCGGGCUUAAAUUGCAACAGAAUAUAUUGGAAACAGUAUAGCCGUAAGGCUGUUGUGAAGGUGCUGCAUGGUUGUCGUCAGCUCGUGCCGUGAGGUGUCGGCUUAAGUGCCAUAACGAGCGCAACCCUUAUCUUUAGUUACUAACAGGUCAUGCUGAGGACUCUAGAGAGACUGCCGUCGUAAGAUGUGAGGAAGGUGGGGAUGACGUCAAAUCAGCACGGCCCUUACGUCCGGGGCUACACACGUGUUACAAUGGGGGGUACAGAAGGCAGCUACACGGCGACGUGAUGCUAAUCCCAAAAACCUCUCUCAGUUCGGAUCGAAGUCUGCAACCCGACUUCGUGAAGCUGGAUUCGCUAGUAAUCGCGCAUCAGCCAUGGCGCGGUGAAUACGUUCCCGGGCCUUGUACACACCGCCCGUCAAGCCAUGAAAGCCGGGGGUACCUGAAGUACGUAACCGCAAGGAGCGUCCUAGGGUAAAACUGGUAAUUGGG